GAUGAACGCUGGCGGCGUGCUUAACACAUGCAAGUCGAACGGGAAACCUUUUAUUGAAGCUUCGGCAGAUUUAGCUGGUUUCUAGUGGCGGACGGGUGAGUAACGCGUGGGUAACCUGCCCUAUACAGGGGGAUAACAACCAGAAAUGGUUGCUAAUACCGCAUAAUCGCACAGGGCCGCAUGGUCCGGUGUGAAAAACUCCGGUGGUAUAGGAUGGACCCGCGUUGGAUUAGCUAGUUGGCAGGGUAACGGCCUACCAAAGCGACGAUCCAUGGCCGGGCUGAGAGGGGGAACGGCCACAUUGGGACUGAGACACGGACCAGAAUCCUACGGGAGGGAGCAGUGGGGAAUAUUGCACAAUGGGGGAAACCCUGAUGCAGCGACGCCGCGUGAAGGAAGAAGUAUCUCGGUAUGUAAACUUCUAUCAGCAGGGAAGAUAGUGACGGUACCUGACUAAGAAGCCCCGGCUAACUACGUG
rnacentral:rRNA from 1 species